AGGGGAAGGGAGAGGAGUACAGAGAGAGGGGAAGGGAGAGGAGUACAGAGAGAGAGGGAGGUGGAGAGAGAGGGGAAGGGAGAGGAUCACAGAGAGAGAUGGAGAGUAAAUAACGGGAAGGAGUAGAGUCACUGUUGAUCUCUGAGGUAGACUAAAAUGUAUUUCCAUUCAACAUCAUAUUUUUCCUAAACUCUAACCCUUACCCUAACCUUCAUCCUAACCCAAACUCUAAACCUAACUACUAACCCUAAUUCUAACCCUAAUUGUACCCUUUCCCCAAACCUGACCACUAAGCUUAAAAUAGCCUUUGUCCUCAUGGAGACAUGGGAAAUGUCCUCGUGGGAGAAUUUUCUUUGUUUUACUAUCCUUGUGAGGACUUUUGGGGAUUAUAGGUACACCAAAAUGAUAGAAGAGCCAAUCAACACAUACACACCACCCAGAGAGAGUGAAAUCCACAUGUUUACCCAGGUUUACUCCUCCCCCAAAUCGGUGCAACUGAAGUUUUUGUGUCAGGGCUAUUUUAGACAAACAGCCGCUGAGUUGACACCACUUUAAUGUGGGGGAAAGGGUGUGUAUGUGUGUGAAUGUGCCUGCGUGUGUGUGUGUUGGGGGGGUUCCACAGAGGUCAUUAUAUUCUGUUUUUUAACAUUCCCGACCAUUCAGUCAUGGUAAGUAUUGAAAUGGUACUCUCUGCUUUCUAUGGAACUGAAACCUGUGAGCUGUGUGAGACUCAUAUACAAACAUGACCACUCAAAUCUGUAGAUCUUUCAAAAUCACUACUUUGACUGCAUCUGUUAAAUGUACCAAUUUAAUGGUUGUUUUUAAAGCUGUUUUUAGUCUGCCUUCAGCGCUGCCAUGAGCACAGGUUGUUGUGCUGCUUCGCCCACAGAUCUGAGGCACAUGAUGAAAUCAUCAGGCUGCCUCUUUCAGGACUGUUGUGUGAAAGAGUGUUCACUCAAUGGUUAAAGAGGGAUCUCCCAUGGUGCAGCUUGGUGUGAAGUGUGUGUUCCGCAUGUGUGCGUUGAUGUGUGUGUGUCUGUGCCUGUGUGUUGAGAGUAUUCACUCAAUGGUUAAAGGAGGAUCUCCCAUGGUGCAGCUUGGUGUGAAGUGUGUGUUCCGCGUGUGUGUAUUGAUGUGUGUGUGUGUGUGUCUGUGCCUGUGUGUUGAGAGUAUUCACUGAAUGGUUAAAGAGGGAUCUCCCAUGGUGCAGCUUGGUGUGAAAUGUGUGUGUUGAUGUGUGUGUGUGUGUGUGUCUGUGCCUGUGUGUUGAGAGUAUUCACUCAAUGAUUAAAGAAGGAUCUCCCAUGGUGCAGCUUGGUGUGAAGUGUGUGUUCCGUGUGUGUGCGUUGAUGUGUGCGUUGAUGUGUGUGUGUGUUGGUUAGUGGUCUCCUAUGGUGCUAUGGUGUGAGGUGUGUUUACAGCAUGGUGUGUGUAUGUGGUGUGUGUGUUGGUUAAUGGUCUCCUAUGGUGCUAUGGUGUGAGGUGUGUUUACAGAAUGGUGUGUGUAUGUGGUGUGUGUGUUGGCUAGUGGUCUCCUAUGGUGCUAUGGUGUGAGGUGUGUUUACAGCGUGGUGUGUAUGUGGUGUGUGUGUUGGUUAGUGGUCUCCUAUGGUGCUAUGGUGUGAGGUGUGUUUACAGCGUGGUGUGUAUGUGGUGUGUGUGUUGGCUAGUGGUCUCCUAUGGUGCUAUGGUGUGAGGUGUGUUUACAGCGUGGUGUGUCUGUGUGUGUGUGUUGGUUAGUGGUCUCCUAUGAUGCUUUGGUGUGAGGUGUGUUUACAGCGUAGUGUGUGUGUGUGCACAUUGUUCUAUCUACCUAGGGGGACUCUGAUGUACAGAGACAAUGACACGUGGUAACUCAGAGACGGUGUCUGUGUGUCGUGCAUGCCUGCGUUUGUGUAUGUUAGUGCAGUGCAGCACAGUGUGGGUGCAAGCAGAGGUCACAUGAGUGUAGCAGACAGUUUUAGAUGUGGAACAGAAGAGGCCCUAGGAAGCCAGACUAACUUUACAAAUAGUGGGUAAAACCUCCAACACACACAUGCAGACAUGACGGAAAACACACACACACUGGCUAGAAAACACUUGAUUCCUACUUUAACUCUAUGUUCUCCUCGAUUCUGAAGAGGAGAUCUUUAUUUCCCACAGUUUGACAAUAUGAGAGGCAGAGGUGGUUAGAUAUCUUUAGGCUGCUGUGAAGGCUGCACUGCUACUGAACAGUCUGCCCUUUCUAAGUGAAUAAUAAUUGGUGUUAUUCUCAUCUUACUGGGCACAGAAAGUAGUUUGAUGCAUCGAUACCUCAUGUUGCAGACAAUAAAGGACUGAACAUGGCUGAAAAUACAGGGGUUGUUUUGGGGGGUUGUGAGUAGUAGCAUAUCAUGAAAAGGCAACCAACACAUCAAACAGCUUAUAGAUAACGUGUGGCAACAUUCACAUGACAAAGUUACCAUACUUGGAUAAGAAAUGCAACAGAAAAACCUCGGCUGGAGGAGUGUCUGAGGUCUGUUUAGAAGUGUGCGUGUGUGGAUGUGGUUGCCUGUGUGUGUCUGUGUGCAACACAGUGCAUCCAGCGACCUCAUCAACCCUAUCCUAUCAGCAUUACUGACACAGGAUCCCCCCAGCAGAAAUAAACCAGGCCCCAGAGCAAUCCACUGGGAUAGAGGGACUUCCGUGUCUGUGUGUGUUUACAUGGUUAUCAUCACUCUAAAAGUAGAGCCCGUUUUCUCACAGGUGCUGAGGCCCUGACUGGGGCAUUGAGGAUAUGAUAUUCAUUCUGUGUGUGUCUGUGUUUGUGUGUUUACAUGUACCAUAUUCAACUCUCCUGUCCUGCCUGUCAACACUAUAUUCAAAUCAGGCUGUUCAUCUUGGUUUGGAUGCAUCUCUCAUACAUAUGGAUGUGUUGUAGUCUUUAUCAAAUCAUGUUAUUCAUCUUGGUUUGGAUGCAUCUCUCAUACAUAUGGAUGUGUUGUAGUCGUUAUCAAAUCAUGUUAUUCAUCUUGGUUUGGAUGCAUCUCUCAUACAUAUGGAUGUGUUGUAGUCGUUAUCAAAUCAUGUUAUACUUCCAUUGUAAUGUAUUUAGCUUAGUAUUGAAUACUUCAUUAGGUUUCAUCAAAUGUGUUUAAUAUGAGCCUGCUGUGUCAGUAAACUGACUACUUUUGCUCCCUUUAUUGUUGAGCUACUGUACACUAUGUUUACAGUGAAUUUGUUAUCAAACAUUAGGUUAAGGAGGGCUUUGCUCAAGUCUGAUGUAGUGUAUUUUGUUAUAUGCACAUUAGUUCACUCAAUAUGCAACCAUUCCAGCCUUAACUACAAUGGUUAGUAGCUCCAUUAGGUAGUGCAGUCUGCACUGUAAAACAUGAAACGUGAAAGUCCCAGUGCAGUCAAAUUCAAUUUUUUCUGUGUUUUAUAUAACAUUGUACAACAGCUGAUGAAACGUACACUGUAAAAGUGUGAAACAAUUUGAUCAAUGUUAUUUUAUGUUACUUGCUGGUUGAAAAUACAAUCUUCACAGGACCUUCUUUAUCAGAAGGUUUGCAUGGGCAGGAGUUUAGGCUUUCCAUGGUGACAUCACCAUGUGGUAAAUUGGUUAUUGGGUCAAUCACAAAGUGAGUUCCAAACCCCUCUGCCAGUUCCUUCAGACAGUUUUCAGUUUUCCUCUCCCUACUCAGACAACUCCCAGACAGUCAUAGCAAAGUUUUGCCCAUUUUAUUGGAAAUCUAGUACAGUUUGGUACUUAAACGCACACACCUGUAGAAAUCCACUUCUUUGAGCAGAAAGACGGAUGGCCAGAGCAUACCUAUGAUGUUGAACAAUUCAUCAUUUUAGUCAAAAUAUGAUAUAUUUGCAUGACGUGACAAAUCCGAACUGUCUUUGAAAUGAGUGCAAAUUAUUUUAAUAAAAAAAAAUAUAUUGAAACACCGGCAAAGUUAUUCCUCUUCGCGACUGAGACAAACAGCCUUACAUGUUCUUACUCCUGCUUUAUACAGCUAUUUUGCAAUAUCUAUGUGUGUUUGUGUGUGUGUAUGGGUGGGUUGGUUCUCCUAUCCUUGUGGGGACCUCUGUUUGUAACUUUGUCCAUAUUUAUGUGUCACUUCAUCCAUUUGUCUAUCAGUUUUAAGCUGUAGACGUUUGUGAGUGUAGGGUUUCUGGUCGCAAAAUCAAAGGCCGGGGUUUCCAUGAUUUACCCUCACGAGGUCUCCAUCCUCAUGUUGACCAUCAGUGGAGGACUUUUCUCAUCUUGGAAGGGUCGGAAGAAACUGUACGCGCUUCAGUCUGCAAUGCACAUUUCACCUGGGAGUCCUUUUUGAAUUACUUGCCGGAAGAGAUGGACUUUCAAAAUUCGACUCAAUGAAGAUGUUGUUCCGACCAUCUACCUGGAUGGUGUAAGUAAAGAGAGCUUCUCAGCUAGCUAGUUAGCAGAUCAAAUGUCAAUUCUAGACUUGCCUCUUCUAGUUAGCUACAUCAUUACAAGAAAUCCUUAUGCAAGUAACUAGCUAGUUAGCAUAUCAAAUGUCAAUUCUAGACUUGCUUCUUCUAGUUAGCUACAUUAUUACAAGAAAUGCUUAUGCAAGUAACUAGCUAGUUAGCAUAUCAAAUGUCAAUUCUAGACUUGCUUCUUCUAGUUAGCUACAUCAUUACAAGAAAUGCUUAUGCAAGUAACUUGCUAGUUAGCUAGCUAAUGAUAUUAGCUAUUUGACUAGCUAGCUGACUGCUGACUAGCUAGUUGAUUAGCUAGCUGUGAUAAAUGCAUCUUAUCAAAACAUCUUAAUGAAGCAAGUUCAGUUCAAGUUAGCUAGCUAGCUACCAACUAUUUGGUUUAGGGCAAAACUUAUCCAAAACUGUAGAAUAUACAAAUAUAUUUACAGGUUUCUAGAACACGAAAGAUCGGCUGCCAGACAGACCUGCUGCAGGCUUGUGAUUGCUCUGUGCAAGCAUCCCCACAAAAGAGGAGCAAGGUAAAAAUGGCAAGCGUGGACUACUCUAGCGAUGACUCCAUACUCCAGUUAUAACCCUGACGAUGACACGGACACCAUCUGCGAUGGCCAACUGUAAGAUGACACUAUAGUGAGCAUGUAAUGGCAAUUUAUGGAGUCCCUGACAUACCUGUUCACAUGUACAUGGUGUACAAAGACUGUCUGCUGCAGCUUUUCCACUGUUGUCCGGUUUGUACCAGAACAUGGAGCAUCACAAAGUGGUUCAAAGGCACCCUGAUAUCCAUUGUCAGAUAUGCCCUCACUGCGACCACACCAAGACAUGGAAGAGUCAGCCGUAUGUGUCCGCCAACCCUGCAGGCAACCUCCACCUAACUGCAGCUAGUCCUUUCACAGGCUCUUCUUUUGCUCAGACAAACAAGUUCCUGAAUCCACUAAAAGUGCAGACCAUAUCUUAAUCGAUGUUUUGCAGACAUCAGAAAACGGUCCUGCUUCCAACCAUAUACUAGCAGUGGAAGUCAGAGUCGUCCAGCAGUAUGUCGGGGAACCUUUGGAUCUUGGAGGGGAUAUGACCGCAGACUAGCCAGGCCACUGUGCAACAUUUGGUUCGUAAAGCGUAUUUGCAUGCUUUCCACUUUUGAAUUCCAUGUGGAGAACGGCACACAUGACUGCAUGUCCUACGCAUACUUGACCAUACACAUGCAUAAACAAAUGUCAAAAAUUCUCUUCUGUUGGAUGGACAUUGAUCUCAUACUCUAACAUCUAACAGGGUCCUACACCAUGGUCAACUACAGAGUGCUUGAUGUACGACUUGUGCUUUUCCUCCAUGGAGUACCCUUUUCAGUGCCAUGUUGGUAAUGGCAAUCCUGAAUCCUGAUUUGGGAGCCUCUGUGCCCAGCCUAACAAAGAUUGAGGGAAAUAUUGCCAAAUGAUACUGUUAAUCUCUUCCACAGCGCAAAGAGGUUGGCAAUAGUCAGAGAACGGAGAAGGAGGGACUGCUGAGGAGCAUUGUUUUUGGAGGAGGCAGAUGUCAGCAUCGGCUCCAUUAUCACAGAUCAACACUUCUCAAUCCAGAAGUUCCUGAGGGAGGAGAUGCAUGACAUUAAGCACUACUACGAUGGGUGCCAUGUGGCUAAAUACUUCUCCUUGCAGCCAUUCACUACAACGAGAAUGCAGACAGGCCUCAGGUAACCACUGCAGCCGGAGAACCUAGGUUCAUGAUUCGGUUCUCUAAGUGGAAGAAAGGAGGCUAUUCCAUCCAAAUGUAUGGCAAUUAUUCCCCCCAUUGCUUUAGCAAUAGUUAUUACUCAACUGUUAUAACUGCCUGUAUAUCUCAUUUAUUUUUCAAAGCUAUCUCCAUAAACUCCUGGAGCUACUGUUCCCGGAUGUAGUGGGAGAUCCAGGGCCGUACCAACAGCUGCUGGAAAGCGAGACUAUCUUCUUUGAAUAUGACAGAGAAGAGUGACACCGUGGCACAUACACUAGUCUUGCUUUGUCUCUCUGGAGAAUGCUUGAGUAUGUAUCGGUCUAGAAGUUAAACAUUGAUCUAUGAUGGUUGUAACAACUGUUUGUAUACAGCCAUUACAGACAGGUGUCACUAUUCAACUGUUUUACCACGCUUUACAUCUACCUCUGUCUGUUGCGUCUGCUACAGGAAUGCUGCGCUGUGUGAUGACCGGAGACUGGAUGAGAAAGCAGUUGCAACAGUCAACACAGUAAAUGUGUUCUACCACGACACACUGAAGAACUGUGCUCAGAGUGCAGUCUACACAUUCAUUCAAGUAUAGUGAAUGACUGCUGUGCUGCGUGAGAUCAGAUGGACAGAUGCGGAGGCAGUGGUUAUAUUGCAAUAAAGAAGUGGAAUAAAAUGUUUUACAAUCUACAAAAAGCCUACAGGUGUAAUCUACUCCACUAUUUUCUCAGAGUUAGAUUUCCCAAUUGACUUGGGGUUAAUUGAUAUUUCAGUUACUAUAGGGAUGUCCAGUCCCCCUUUUGAUUAGAACCCUGCCUGUGCUCUAACACAGCAUACUUUUCAUUUACCUACCCAUGUAUUUCAGCAUCCGUGUUCUUUUGACUGUAUGCAUUGGAUAUGGCAUGUAGGCCAUAUGGGUUGAGACAUACAGGGCAAAACCUGGGUGGUCAGUAGCAUGCCACCAACACAUGUUAAUGCACUUGGCCCAUCACCUGUACAGUGCAUGCAUACAUACGAUCCUAUUAAAUUCCUCAUUUUAUGGUAUACACAUUGCCGGGCCGCCAGUACUAUGUCUUUAUAGAACACUAGUUAGCCAACUAAUAAUGUUGUGUAGUUGCAUGAACAGUGUGCUCAAAGAUUAUGAUAACUAACCCUGUACGCUAUCAUCUGCAUUGUAUGAUGGUAGCUAUAUCAUUUAAAAUAGGUUUAUUGUGUGACCAACAAAGGGCUCAUAACAACCAUUAUACAGUAUGUAAUGUAUGUGUCUCUCAGUCAUUUCCUUUAUGAUUGAUGAUUAUGUACUGAGUAUGAAAUGCAAUCAGAAACAUAAGCUUCCUCCUCUACCUCUCUGCAGCACAGAUUCUCACUGGCAGUGGAUACAAGAGCAACCAUUUGGCAAAGUUUUCCCUAAAAGCUUAUGACAAACUAUUUCCAGAACCAGCCAUAGCCAGUGUUAUGAGUGAAGAUGGAAUGUGUUGUUGUUUAUCAUUGCCUGGGUACAAGGUCAUCACUAGAGCAUCAUGGGUAGGUCACAUUCAUUCGGAGGCAUCUGAGUGUACCGGUACCGCUGUAUCACAGAAAAGUAUGUGUUAGG